CAGCCGGUGGGCGGUGGCGCGAGGAGGGCGGCCGAGGAGCGCGCGCUAACGCACCGGCGGCAGUCGCAGUACCGGCGUCUGGACACUGCUCGUGCAGUACACCCCGGGUACCUCUGCUGAACACCUCCAGCCUCUGGACACUGCUCGUGCAGUCCACCUCGGGUACCUCUGCUGAAGACCCCCAGCCGCCACCAUGGCUUCCAUGGACAUGCUGUCUAUGUCUGUCCCCAACUACACCUACCUGUUCAAGUUCGAGGAGGACUUUGCCGCCGUGGAGCGCCAGCAGUGGAUGCAGCAGAACUGGCACACGUCCUUCUACUACAUCGGCGUCUACAUGGUGCUCAUAUUCGGCGGCCAGCGCUACAUGGCCACUAGGGAGCGGUUCGAACUGCGGAACGUACUGGCGCUGUGGAACUUCUUCCUGGCCGUGUUCAGCAUCGUGGGCGCCAUGCGCACCGUUCCCGAGCUGCUGUUUGUGCUGAAAAACUUUGGCUUCCAUCACUCCUGCUGCAUCGCUGGCCAUAGUUACGUGCCCAACAGCCCCGUGUCUGGCCUCUGGAGCUACCUGUUCACCAUGUCCAAGGUGCCCGAGCUGAUGGACACGGUAUUCAUCGUGCUGAGGAAGCAGCCGCUCAUCUUCCUGCACUGGUACCACCACAUCACCGUCCUCAUCUUCACCUGGUUCAGCUUCUCGGACUUUAUCGUGACCGGCCGCUGGUUCAUCAGCAUGAACUACUCGGUUCACGCCAUGAUGUACAGCUACUACGCCUUCAAGGCGCUCCGCUACCGCGUCCCCAGGUGGAUCUCUGUGGCCAUCACUAGCAGUCAGCUGGCGCAGAUGAUCGUGGGCUGCCUGGUCAACCUGUGGGCCUACCACGUCAAGUCCAACGGCGGCGAGUGCGAGGUCUCCGUGCUCAACAUCAAACUCUCGCUCAUCAUGUACUUCAGCUACUUUGUCCUCUUCGCCCACUUCUUCAACAAGUCCUACCUGACCAAAAAGCCGGCGCGCAGCGCCUCCACCGGCAACAUGAAGAAGAUCGAGUGAUGCAGACGGCCGAUAGGUGUCGCCCCGGCAGACGGCCGAGGUUUAGGAAAAUAUUCAGCCAUGGCGGCGUGGAGGUAUCCGCUGCCGGAGCUCAGCUGUGUUCUGCUGGGAGCACCUUCCCGGGGUUCUCCGCGCCGCAGGUAGCACCUGCGGGGGUUUCCCGAGUAUCCUGCUACGGAUGUUGUUCUCGCAGCCUCCGUUUUCACGUUUGCUCAAUGGUUUCGUUUUAUGUCUGCGAUAUUUUAUUGGUUGGCCUGCAUUGGCGAUUGUUUGCGAAGUUGUUUGUUCAAUGUUCAAUGGCAGGCCUUCUGUUCAUUUUCCAUAAUAGGUACACUCAUUGUAAGCACAUGUACCCAAUGUGCUUACAAUGCAAUAUCUAAAAACAUUCUUCCGGGAUCACACAGAGCAUUCCACUACGUUUUGUUGUAACUAUUUAUAUUCCACUUGCUGGCAUCUACUCACUUUUCCUGGUAAACAUUCUCCAGUAGCUUUUACCAUGGUCCUAGCAUAGCCUAGUGGUUGGUCAUUCGACCUUGAGGGUUUCCUCGGUAGCUAAAGAUAGGGAGGGUAAGGUACAGCUGCGCAACAGUUUGUCUGAGCAAGGCUCCUAGCUAGCUGGUCAGCCAGACGAAGUUGCCAGUACCCUGUUGGUGCGCUGGACUUCUUCUCCGGCAGACGCUUGUCGCUGUCCCCUGGGUUCGUCCAGUACAUCAUGGGGCAACUCUACUUCGAGCCCGCCCGGCUGCGUCCUCAGAGCCAGACCUCGGCAGUCCUUACAGUCCUGAGACUACCACCAUUUAGACGCUGCCACCGAGUGACUGUGGUCCGUCUGAGCUGCUCUCCGGGUGGUACGGAAGUGCGGCAGUCUCCGCCGGCAGCAGGUGUUUUAGCUUGAGAUACUUGCACUGCAACCUUUCCUUCGUCAUAAUACUCCUCCCACCCGUCCCUCCUCUUCUCCAGGAAUGUCAACUCCUGAGCCUCUAACCUCUCUCCAGACAGCCAAAAGCUCAUCUCCAGGCAUCCAGGAACACCUCCCCAGGCGUCCAGGAGCUCUUCUCGAGUCAUGACAGCAGACUGCUCUUCACGUCUUAUCCGGCACGCUCCUGUUGACACAUUCCACUAGCCUUCGGAAUAUUCUGACAGAUUUCCAACCCAUAGAUCCUUGGUGCACUAGGAACUCCCCGCACAAGCUUUGUGAUCAUGUCGCUAGCCCGUAAGUAGACUUCAGUGGGCCCCAGGGACAUGUAUAGGGAGCGACCAGAGCCAACUCCAGAAGAGUCAAGCGUGCGACUGUCUGGUAUGGUCUGGUAGGUGAUACAGGGUCCUCUGGUCAGUUGUUUCGGAGGGGAUCCAAGGGACAGUAGGAGGAUGGCAGUCAGAGGAGGCACCUCAGAAGUAUGGGCGGUGUAGAGACGGUUGGUUUGUCUGGGUAAUCUUAUCGAUUACAAAUUUGAGAGAGAGAGAGAGAGAGAGAGAGAGAGAGAGAGAGAGAGAGAGAGAGAGAGAGAGAGAGAGAGAGAGAGAGAGAGAGAGAGCCGAAGACGCCAGGCAGGCGCUCCUUUGAACGGACUAACGUAGCGCGGUAUCACUCUAACGGGAGCCAUUUGGCCUCAGUGUGUGUGACUUGGUAUGCUUCGUCUGGCCCUUGUCGCAUGUUCUAUUGUUCACGAUUUAUGCCGCCGGGCAUCGUCCAAGGAGGCUGAAUUGCUAGAUAUCGUAGCCUGCUACUCAGGCGUUUCUUAGAAUCAUGGAUGAUGCGUGGUUAUUGGUUUUACCAGGAGGCUUGCAAACAUGCUAUGCUUGAUCUUGACUAGUGAUGACAUUCUAAGCUCGAUAUUCUAAGCGUUGGGUUAGUUCAUCGUAACAACCAUCGCAAUCCAUUCCAGAAAACUAUGUUGUCUAAUUCCCAUGAUCCCAUGAUCAGUCCAGUUACCAGAGUCCCAGUGCAUAGUGUUUGGUCCACGCACAUGCUUCAGCCCGCUGAGAUCUAUGGUCCUGGCGGUGUUGUGUUCAAAAUUCUUCAGUCAGUGUGUAAGUUGUCCGUGACCGAUAAGAAGGCUCGCUGCAUGAUACACCUGUUUGAGCGAUUGUCCAGAUUGUGUGAUUGAAGUGUUUCUCGACACGAUGACUCUGUCCAGUCUCGGUCGGCCGUUGUGAGCCUAACCCCGUGUACACUGUGUAUUAUAUUUGAGGUUGCGCUGUGUAAGCGGGAGUGUCUCGCGCUGAGAUUCUGGCAGAAAGCUGCGACGAGUGGGCAUCCGGUCACCUGUGAAAUGGCGCUGGCGCCGUGUGGCCGGAAUGGGCUCCGGAAUGGGUGGAAUGGGUGCUGGUCACGGCCUGAACUAGUCGGGAUUGUGCGUGGAGUGGAUGUGAGUGACGCCAUUGUGUUCUGAUGUGGUUUAGGAGUGUACAGUCUCGUGUGAUGAUAACCCUCAGUGCGCCAGGGCUAGCAGAGAGCGUAAGGUUGUGAAAUAGGGCCCACCGCGGUCCCAACAAUGCCAUCAGACUUGUCUGUGAAAACCAAGCGCAAACUUUGUGUGUGAAUGUCUGCGCCGUGUCAGCGCAAUGCGCCGCCCCGCUGACCCGGACGAGUGUCCGCUGAGCCAGUGCCCGCCUCAGUUCUGUUCUAUCGCUCCCGUGCGCGGUGAUCACGGUGUUGUUUGGCCCACGCCACACAUCCGUGGUCGCCAUCGCGCCGCACGCAUGGUGUACCGCAAGGAAGCAUUUUCGCCCCGCUGUUAUUUGUUACGUUGGAAACUUUUUGGAAUUGAUGCGUUGUUUUUUUAUCAUUCCCGGAGCCGAAAAUGUGUCCGAAGCUGCAGCUCCAUGCUCGUGUUGUCAGUGGCAGCGCUGACGGAGUCACCAGAGCAGACUGAGCGCGACCAUAGCUAGACGGGACAAUUCCUGAGGGGCCGGCCGCGGCGCUGAGUGUGUGUGAGCGUGCCGAUGGUGUGUCGGUGCGACAGCUCUGUUUUGUUUUCCCGUUUGUCCAAUUCGGCUGCAGUGUUACCUAAUAUACGAACAUUCAGUUGA
rnacentral:misc_RNA from 1 species